rnacentral:rRNA from 1 species
CCUACGGGAGGCAGCAGUGGGGAAUCUUGCGCAAUGGGCGAAAGCCUGACGCAGCCAUGCCGCGUGAAUGAUGAAGGUCUUAGGAUUGUAAAAUUCUUUCACCGGGGACGAUAAUGACGGUACCCGGAGAAGAAGCCCCGGCUAACUUCGUGCCAGCAGCCGCGGUAAUACGAAGGGGGCUAGCGUUGCUCGGAAUUACUGGGCGUAAAGGGAGCGUAGGCGGAUAGUUUAGUCAGAGGUGAAAGCCCAGGGCUCAACCUUGGAAUUGCCCUUGAUACUGGCUAUCUUGAGUACGGAAGAGGUAUGUGGAACUCCGAGUGUAGAGGUGAAAUUCGUAGAUAUUCGGAAGAACACCAGUGGCGAAGGCGACAUACUGGUCCGUUACUGACGCUGAGGCUCGAAAGCGUGGGGAGCAAACAGGAUUAGAUACCCUGGUAGUCCACGCUGUAAACGAUGAGUGCUAGUUGUCGGCAUGCAUGCAUGUCGGUGACGCAGCUAACGCAUUAAGCACUCCGCCUGGGGAGUACGGUCGCAAGAUUAAAACUCAAAUUGAAAUUGACGG